CUUGGCUGUUAUAGCACUUUAGCAGUUGCAUGCAAUAAUGCUUUUUUUUUUUUCGAGAGGAAUAAUUAGCAUCCCCUGGUGUGGUGGAUAAUUAAGGGAACGUGCAUGCAUUCCUUUUAUAUUAUUUCAUCGAUUUCUUAAAACUCAUUUUUGUUACUGCCGUCCAACACAAAUCUGUUAUUGAGGAAUCUCAGAUGUCCUGUUUUGUUUCUGCUUUUCAGUUAUAAAACAAUAUAUAACUUAGUAUAAACAAGAAGUUUAUGCGAAUAUAUCUAUUUCCUGUUAUUUUUAGCCAUAAAGACAUUAAUUUAUAUAAAUUCAAAUUACGAUGAAAGUAAACAAAGUUUGUUUUAGAAGCGUUGAGAUGUAUUGAAAGUUAAGGAAAUGAUUUUUCUCCAGAAUAGAUCCCUAUUUUCCUCCAGAAUAGAUCCCUAUUUGUCUCCAGAAUAAAAUUAUUUCUUAUUUUCUUCAAGAAGAUCGAAUUGCCAUACGUCAUCAUCACGGUAGUUCAUUGGUGGGUUUUUGAACUGAAAGUAAACGAAGUUGUUUAUCAACUGUUAUUCAUAUAAACGUCCUUGAUGUAUAUACAUGAUCUUUCUCGCCAACAAAAUGGAACUAUAUUCAACCCUUAUCUUAUCAAUUUUCCUUGUUCCUACUAACUGCUUGCUGUUAUCACGAUGGAAAUACAAGACUAAGUUUGGUCGUAUUGAAUAUUGCUGUAGAUGCAGUAAAGAUUUUGUCAAAGAAGAUGUAAUCUAAGAAUGUUUUUUAAAAAAUAAACAUAACCAUUAUCUUUUGCCAUUUUGUAAUUGCCAUGAAGGAAUUAUUUCUAGUGAAUAAAAUUUCGCUGUUGACAUCACUUUGUGUGUGUAGGAUUCUGAGACCAUUGUCUAAACACUGUAACAAAUUCUAGAAAACUAGGUUGUGUAGACUCUCACCUCUAAUUCAUGUACUAAAUGUGGACAAGA